rnacentral:rRNA from 1 species
GAUGAACGCUGGCGGCGUGCCUAAUACAUGCAAGUCGAGCGAAUGGAUUAAGAGCUUGCUCUUAUGAAGUUAGCGGCGGACGGGUGAGUAACACGUGGGUAACCUGCCCAUAAGACUGGGAUAACUCCGGGAAACCGGGGCUAAUACCGGAUAGUAUUUUGAACUGCAUGGUUCAAAAUUGAAAGGCGGCUUCGGCUGUCACUUAUGGAUGGACCCGCGUCGCAUUAGCUAGUUGGUGAGGUAACGGCUCACCAAGGCAACGAUGCGUAGCCGACCUGAGAGGGUGAUCGGCCACACUGGGACUGAGACACGGCCCAGACUCCUACGGGAGGCAGCAGUAGGGAAUCUUCCGCAAUGGACGAAAGUCUGACGGAGCAAUGCCGCGUGAGUGAUGAAGGCUUUCGGGUCGUAAAACUCUGUUGUUAGGGAAGAACAAGUGCUAGUUGAAUAAGCUGGCACCUUGACGGUACCUAACCAGAAAGCCACGGCUAACUACGUGCCAGCAGCCGCGGUAA